rnacentral:lncRNA from 1 species
GGUAGUUAGAAUAAAAUAAAGUGGCCCAUCAAGUAUUCAGCCCAAGUUUAUUACCACAGUGGACUCGGGUUAUAAUUACCAACAGAGGAGAGAAUAACUAUAAGUUAUUUUGAUGUAAAAAGCAUAUUAUCCUAAGCCAACAUAAUAACACAGUUUUUAUGAAGCACAAUAAUUACACUGAAGACUCACAGAAGUGCAUUUUUCUAAAAGAAGGAGAUUCUCAUACAGAAACAGAUUAACAGAAACAGAAACAGCAACACUAGAGAACAGCAAAAUAGUAACAUUUCAAGAAAAUAUAUACACCUUCACAGUAUGUGAUGGUAUCCACUUACUGUCUACUGCCUCCAUAACUCCUAAAGUCUUCUGAAGGUGAGUGGGCAAAAAAAAUUGUUAAAAUACAAUGGUUAAGGGGGGUAAAACAUUUUUGAACCAUGUCUGUACCACAACAAAACACCUGAUGGGUUAGUGAGAGAGAGAACAAAGGAAAUAGCUCUGUGCUUUCAAUUCCAGGUAGUAUACUAAAAAUAAUAAUCUUAUUGCUUUCCACAUUUAACAAAUAGAAGUUAACUAAUUGUCAGUAGGUAGUCCAUUUACAUUCUCAUUUAUCAUUAUUUUUAUUCUGAUUAUAUGUUUAUUAUUUCUCAUUUUAUCUAUUUCCUCAUUUCAGAUUUAUUAAUGCUUUGAAUAUAUGAGCCACCGUUUCUUUUCACAGCCUUUUCACAACUGGGAAUUCUUUAGAGAAAGGCAAUCUUACUUCAUUUACUUACUUCAUCAGUAAUGCCAUUACUAUGCCUACUUAAGAAGAAAAUAUAUCAUGUGGCAGAGGACUAGAAAGAAAAAACAACAACAAAAGGCUGUGAAGAUUUGAUCAUAUGCCUACGUGUGUGGUGAAUACAAUAUUUCUUUAAUCGCAAUCAGGAAUAUAAAUCUUAUUUUGAUGCUAUGACAUAAUAAAGUGCAUUAUUUUCCUGAAAUUUUCCUCUUAUCUCUGUUUUAUAUUUGCAUAAAUAAUCCA